GGUGGUCGACAUCGUGGAUAGCGGCAGCAAAGAGGGCGGCUAAGAUCUCGAGAUCGGUGAAGACAGCCUAAGGACAAAGAGAGAACAAGAAGCUUCCAAGAGCUUUUAAGUGACACUUUUCUCCCCACUAAGCGGACAAUGACUGAAUGUACUGAACAAAAGGGCGGCGAGACCUUGGCGAGCUCAUCCUCGUGGUCCGUGUUGACCCCGAAGCGAGGCAUGGAGGAGCUGGAGAGGCUGGAGCUGUGGGACAGCUUCCGCACGCCGCUGAUGUGACUCAUCGACUUGUCCUUCAGCGUCGGAGAUGGGAUGUCCACUUCGUCCUGCUUGUCUACACAUUGACACAAUCAGUGACUCAUGGCUCGUAUUGGGAUGCUACGUGGCAGGAUUGGUGCUGCACUCACCCAGGAAGGUGCUGGAGAUGUACUCUGACACCUGGUUGCCUGAGCGACUCAUCUCGGACAGGUCAAGCAUGGCCCAGCUCCUACCUUGUUGGAUGCCAUCUCGCUGACCGAGCGGUGCGUCUGGAUGGUUUCCAGCUGGUCCAAACACCAGUCCAGUUCUUCCAGCGUGUCCAAGGCGAGCUGUUGGUGCUGUUGGUCCGACAGCUUGGCUCUGGGACUGACACACACUCCACUCAGCGGUGACCUCCUGAGUUCACAGAAAAAAGGCCUCUACAGACGGAGGAGCUCUUGGAUCUGCACUGCAGUGCCGUAGCAACAAAACACUGGGGGAACAGUACCAGUUGCUAGGCAACAGUGCCAUGUUGCUCCCAUGCUGUGCUGAAUGUUGUCGUCCAGACCAGAUGUGGAAAGAUGCUUACACACACACAUAAUAUAUAUGUGUGUAUAUAUAUAUAUAUAUAUAUAUAUAUAUAUAUAUAUACACACUCUUACACAAACACUAACAGAAAGGCUCAGUAUGAUCAAUAAAAAGCUGUUUGAAUAAUGCAUGCUAUCAUCAUGUCCUUCAUCCAGGAUGAAAGCACCUCAAAGGAAACGUCCUCUUCUAAGUGGAUUCAUGUGCACAGACCUUUGAGGACACGAACAAAGGAAGGCGGGAAUGUUAUGUGUGUGUGUUUUGUCAUGGCGGCCCUUCAACGCAAGCCAAACACGGCGGCGGCGGCGGCGUUUCGGCGGACGUGCUCCUCACCUCUUCUCCUGUCACCGACAGCACACUGCGGCUCUUCUUCAUCCUGAUUGGCUCGUUCUGGGCCCCAGGGCGGAGCGUUCCGGAACCCAGGCAGCAGAGCAGGUGGAGAGCCAGGACCGGAGAGGUCAAAGGUCACUGCAAGGUCAAACCUGGGACGGCGGGGUCAGGGCAGGACGCGGUCAGACCGGGUAACCGGCGUCCAUUGAGGCCGACCCAACCGACACCUCAGUGUUCAAAGUGGACCCCGCCCACAAUGCAUUUAGGUGUCCGGCUUCUUGUUAUUGUUGUUGUUUUGAUUGCUUAUUUUCCACACAAGUCCCGGAUGUGAGAGACAAAUAGUUCACUCCAUUUUGUAAAAAACAAACAGUCCAAAGGGGGAAGGUCCAGGUGGUCCUGCUUGGACCAGGUGAGCCAACAGCACAUCCCUGUCAGGGUCCAUGACGCCAGUGCCGGGGGACGCUCGGAAUCCAGAAGCAUCAUCUGUGGUCAUCCUUUCAGAAUGUUGAGCACCACUGGAAAGUAAUCCUGGAAGGCCUUCAGUGUCUCCUCUUGUCACACCUGCAAGGACACCAAAAAAAAAACAAGGCACCCAGAGUCCAGAGUCGCCACACCUGGUCAGGUGAUACUUGCCCUCCGAGCAAGACAUGCACACACCUGCUCCUUCAUGGCCUCCUCCAUACACAUCGGUGCGCAGCAUCGGUGCGCAGCAUCGGUGCGCAGCAUCGGUGCGCAGCAUCGGUGCGCAGCAUCGGUGCGCAGCUGCGGACACGCUCCUUCAGCAUCUCCAGCUCACGCUCAAACGCCUCCUGGUUGGACUUGUUAGCGCUCUGGCGACGCAAAUCAAACGCCCAAGGAUAUCUGCCUCGACGCAGAGACGGCCAGGUUUGACUUACUGACCUUCAUCCUUGAGAAGAACUGCCUGAAGCAGCCUCGUGGGUCCUCUUGAAGCACAUUGCCUAAAUCCAUAAUGGACUGCAUGACGAUGGCCUGGUGGGCCGCCUGCUCCAUUAGUGCGUGUUUCUGAACAGGCAGGGACAGGAUUGUUGUUUUUCUCAUGCUACCUUCUGAAAAUGAGCAGACACACUGUACCUCAUCAAUGUCAUGUUCAAUACAGGUGACCACAAGACGGUUUGCUGUCUCCUCACACACCAGAUGUGGAUUCUCUGACAGAUACUUCUGGCUGUCGUGCCAACGCCGCAUCAUCCCUGGUGUGAAACAUGCUUCAGUGUUUGCUCACCUCAGCUCGAAGCUUGUGUCAGCUGGGCCUCCUCUUCCUCCUCCCCGCUCCUGCUUUCAUCUUGCAGCGCUUGGAAUCGUCCCCGGGUUUCCUCCAGGAGCCUGCUGCAUUCUGUGAGGUUCAUCUCCAGGUCUUUUCUUCUCUGCUGGAACUCUGCCAUUUUCCCCAGGCGGGUCUGUCGGGGUUAUUUAUGGAACCUCACAGCGGUCUGUUGGAUGCCAAGGGGCGGGACUAACGGCGGUUUGAGACUUGUGAUUGGCUGAGCCAAGCGUGUUUGUUCCUGUCAUGGCCUCACGUGGAACCGCAGCAAAGGAAGACAACAGUCACAUAGCCACAAAAGAACUGAACAUUAAUGUGUGUACACGCCAUUUGGGAGGCAUUUUUGGAAAAAAAGGGGUCAUUUUUGCAGCUCCAUUGCAGGUUCAGGCCUGGUUAGUACUAGAAAAAGGGACUACCUGGGAUGCUGUAAACCUUUUACACUUGCGGCACUCUCACAGCAGAGGGCGCUGUUUCUAACAUGCCGAGAGAAAAAAAAUCAGUUGUGUUUAACUUUAAAU